rnacentral:rRNA from 1 species
AAACCAACAGGGAUUGCCUCAGUAACGGGGAGUGAAGCGGCAAAAGCUCAAAUUUGAAAUCUAGCACUUUCAGUGUUCGAGUUGUAAUUUGAAGAAGGUAACUUUGGUUUUGGCUCUUGUCUAUGUUCCUGGAACAGGACGUCACAGAGGGUGAGAAUCCCG